UGACCGUAUCGAUUGCUCCUAUAUAUAGACACAGAAUACGGGUACUGAACGGGGCGUGGUUAUACAGUACAAUACAUUCAGUAUCGGCUUUUGUGGCUUUGAUAAAGAAUUCCACCACAAAAAGUUACGAAAACGAACAUGCCGGCUGAGGAUUUGUAAAUUUUGGCGGAAUAGUCGCUCAAUAAAAGGGGGCAGAACAUAUUACUGAAGUUAAUGUUUUGCCCAUGACUGCAAUAACAGUGAUAUAGAGGCAUUUUGCAUUUCAAGCCACAUCUACGUGCAUGUACGUGCGGAUUAUUAAAGGACACGAUUAAACAGG